rnacentral:lncRNA from 10 species
UCAUUUUCUCAUUCAUCAAAAGAAACAAGGAUUUAUUGAGCCCCUACUGUAUGCUUGGCACUCACGGGGACCACAGAACAGCCCUGGUACAGUGGGAGAACACAGGUUCAGAAGGAGUUUGUCACUUGGUCACACAGUGAGCAAGAAGAGGCAGAAUUCAAACCCAAACCGACCUGGUCCCAAAACUCAGAGAUAGGUUUCCUAGAGAUGACGUGACAGUAAAGAGGGCCCCAGGGGGACCCCAGUACUCCUGCAGGCAAGACUUCGGGACUGGGGUCUCCCACGGCCGGGAUGGCCUUGUCCAUGGAUCAUGUCCCCCCAGCUGCCUGUCAACGCCGAGGACUUCGGCUGGGUCCUGACCUCUUAGCACAGAUCGCCGCUUAGAGCCUGGUGGGUGUUGAAUUUUAAAGAACAUUCCAUCCCUCCUGGAUCUCUAAGGAGGGAAAUGUGGGUGGGGGUCAGGGAAGGAGAGAGGAACUGGGUGAGAAUGGAGAUGGGGUCUCA